CCCAAGGUUUUCUUCAAAACCACACAUCUUGUCUUCAGGUUUGAU
rfam:Mesocricetus auratus contig120323, whole genome shotgun sequence.